ACCUCUUUUGUCUUCCUUUUUAAUUUAUGAUCAGUCUAAUCAAUAUAUGCAAAUGAAUCUUAUUAUAAACAUGAGAGCCCAACAUAUAACAUUUAAGAAAGCCAUCAAAACAAUUGAAGUUUAAAAGUAAUGAUGACUUUCUUUAAGGUUAUAUGUUGGGCUCUCAUAUUUAUAAUAAGAAUCCGUUUUCCGCCUGGCAAAUCUCUAGCUACGAUAUAUGCAAAUGAAGUUUACGUAAUCGUAUCUAUGAUGUAAUAAUUUAUGCUGAACCUAACACAUGCGCAGUUCACGACGAGCUUCUCUCUCGAUCUAUUCAAUAUGGUGGUCAAUCAAGAAAUGUUUUUGCUUGCAAAAAGAUCGUAAAUUGUUGGCGCUACAAGCUCGGAAAGAUUGUAAAUGAGAUCAGGCUUUUAUCAGCUCACAGAAUAACAAGAAGGAAGCAUCCAAACAAAUUCAUUUGUAACAUGGUGGAUAACAAAGUCCCUCUUUGAAAACCUACUUCAGUCAUUUUACGAUUAAAAGUCCAGCGAGAAAUGAAGUGAAAGGCGAUUUGAAAACCACGAGGUAAGGCAAUUGGUGGCGAUCGAAGGUGGACAGCAAGAUCGAAGCUCAGCAAGAUUGAAGAUUGUUCGAAGAAGAAGGAGUUCGCCGUUGACUAAAAGGUUUAUCUGAACAGCUAGUUGUCAAGAUGAAUGCGAAGACUCGCCCGGCCAAAUUCAAAAUGGCGAUGCCAAAGAAAACCAUCCACCUGGACCGUUCGCAGACCUUUCUGGGCAAGAUUGUUGUGCUGUCUGGUCAAAGUUAAGUAUUUUACUUUGAUGUUUGUGUGCCUUCGGCUAAUUGUUGGCCAGAAAUGACAAAAAGCCAUAUACAAUAUGAAAUAUUCUGCGUACAAGGUUAUCUAAAAUUUCGAACUUAAUUCUGCCUGCAAUGAUGAUAAUUUUUUACUGAAAAUUUAUGUCAUGAGCAACUUCCGCACCUAUAGACUGAAGCAGAACUGAACAUUUUGUCAUUAACGUUUAUCUCAACAGCCAGUUAUCAAGACGAACGUCAAGAGAACAGUUGAAAUAG
rnacentral:lncRNA from 1 species